ACAGGUGCUGCAUGGCUGUCGUCAGCUCGUGUUGUGAAAUGUUGGGUUAAGUCCCGCAACGAGCGCAACCCUUAUCCUUUGUUGCCAGCGGUCCGGCCGGGAACUCAAAGGAGACUGCCAGUGAUAAACUGGAGGAAGGUGGGGAUGACGUCAAGUCAUCAUGGCCCUUACGACCAGGGCUACACACGUGCUACAAUGGCGCAUACAAAGAGAAGCGACCUCGCGAGAGCAAGCGGACCUCAUAAAGUGCGUCGUAGUCCGGAUUGGAGUCUGCAACUCGACUCCAUGAAGUCGGAAUCGCUAGUAAUCGUGGAUCAGAAUGCCACGGUGAAUACGUUCCCGGGCCUUGUACACACCGCCCGUCACACCAUGGGAGUGGGUUGCAAA
rnacentral:rRNA from 1 species